rnacentral:scRNA from 1 species
GACGACAACACGCCGUUUCCGACGUUGCCCGG